CUUGAUGAACGCUAGCUACAGGCUUAACACAUGCAAGUCGAGGGGCAUCAGGAAGAAAGCUUGCUUUCUUUGCUGGCGACCGGCGCACGGGUGAGUAACACGUAUCCAACCUGCCCUUUACUCGGGGAUAGCCUUUCGAAAGAAAGAUUAAUACCCGAUAGCAUAAUGAUUCCGCAUGGUUUCAUUAUUAAAGGAUUCCGGUAAAGGAUGGGGAUGCGUUCCAUUAGGUUGUUGGUGAGGUAACGGCCCACCAAGCCUUCGAUGGAUAGGGGUUCUGAGAGGAAGGUCCCCCACAUUGGAACUGAGACACGGUCCAAACUCCUACGGGAGGCAGCAGUGAGGAAUAUUGGUCAAUGGGCGCUAGCCUGAACCAGCCAAGUAGCGUGAAGGAUGAAGGCUCUAUGGGUCGUAAACUUCUUUUAUAUAAGAAUAAAGUGCAGUAUGUAUACUGUUUUGUAUGUAUUAUAUGAAUAAGGAUCGGCUAACUCCGUGCCAGCAGCCGCGGUAAUACGGAGGAUCCGAGCGUUAUCCGGAUUUAUUGGGUUUAAAGGGAGCGUAGGUGGACUGGUAAGUCAGUUGUGAAAGUUUGCGGCUCAACCGUAAAAUUGCAGUUGAUACUGUCAGUCUUGAGUACAGUAGAGGUGGGCGGAAUUCGUGGUGUAGCGGUGAAAUGCUUAGAUAUCACGAAGAACUCCGAUUGCGAAGGCAGCUCACUGGACUGCAACUGACACUGAUGCUCGAAAGUGUGGGGUAUCAAACAGGAUUAGAUACCCUGGUAGUCCACACAGUAAACGAUGAAUACUCGCUGUUUGCGAUAUACAGUAAGCGGCCAAGCGAAAGCAUUAAGUAUUCCACCUGGGGAGUACGCCGGCAACGGUGAAACUCAAAGGAAUUGACGGGGGCCCGCACAAGCGGAGGAACAUGUGGUUUAAUUCGAUGAUACGCGAGGAACCUUACCCGGGCUUAAAUUGCAGUGGAAUGAUGUGGAAACAUGUCAGUGAGCAAUCACCGCUGUGAAGGUGCUGCAUGGUUGUCGUCAGCUCGUGCCGUGAGGUGUCGGCUUAAGUGCCAUAACGAGCGCAACCCUUAUCUUUAGUUACUAACAGGUUAUGCUGAGGACUCUAGAGAGACUGCCGUCGUAAGAUGUGAGGAAGGUGGGGAUGACGUCAAAUCAGCACGGCCCUUACGUCCGGGGCUACACACGUGUUACAAUGGGGGGGUACAGAAGGCAGCUAGCGGGUGACCGUAUGCUAAUCCCAAAAUCCUCUCUCAGUUCGGAUCGAAGUCUGCAACCCGACUUCGUGAAGCUGGAUUCGCUAGUAAUCGCGCAUCAGCCACGGCGCGGUGAAUACGUUCCCGGGCCUUGUACACACCGCCCGUCAAGCCAUGGGAGCCGGGGGUACAUGAAGUACGUAACCGCAAGGAUCGUCCUAGGGUA
rnacentral:rRNA from 1 species